AAUGAACGCUAGCGGCAGGCCUAACACAUGCAAGUCGAGGGGUAGAAGUUGCUUGCAACUUUGAGACCGGCGCACGGGUGCGUAACGCGUAUGCAAUCUACCUUGUACAGGGGGAUAGCCCAGAGAAAUUUGGAUUAAUACCCCAUAGUGUAAUGAAAUCGCAUGGUUUUAUUACUAAAGUUCCAACGGUACAAGAUGAGCAUGCGUCCUAUUAGCUAGUUGGUGUGGUAACGGCACACCAAGGCAACGAUAGGUAGGGGUCCUGAGAGGGAGAUCCCCCACACGGGUACUGAGACACGGACCAGACUCCUACGGGAGGCAGCAGUGAGGAAUAUUGGUCAAUGGGCGCAAGCCUGAACCAGCCAUGCCGCGUGCAGGAAGACGGUCCUAUGGAUUGUAAACUGCUUUUGUACGGGAAGAAACACUCCUACGUGUAGGAGCUUGACGGUACCGUAAGAAUAAGGAUCGGCUAACUCCGUGCCAGCAGCCGCCGUAA
rnacentral:rRNA from 1 species